AGAUCUAAUAGUUAGAUCUAGAAUUUCAGCAUCGAUGAGAUUGAUAUAAUUUUUAUUUUCAGAUCUAAAGUAUAUAUUUUUAUAUUAAAGAUCCUGAUAUGAUAGUUUAAGAUAGCAUCUUAUACACGUGAUUAGAAUUAAAUCAUUUAAUUUAUUAUUUUUAUUGUACAAAAUUUUAAAAUUGCAUGUACUACACUACCGUAUAUUUUUUUCAACUGGUAUC
rnacentral:lncRNA from 1 species